rnacentral:rRNA from 1 species
UACAGAGGGUGCGAGCGUAAUCGGAAUUACUGGGCGUAAAGCGCACGUAGGCGGCUUGGUAUGUCGGGUGUGAAAUCCCCGGGCUCAACCUGGGAACUGCAUCCGAAACUGCCUUGCUCGAGUAUGGGAGAGGGAAGUGGAAUUUCCGGUGUAGCGGUGAAAUGCGUAGAUAUGGAAGGAACAUCAGUGGCGAAGGCGACUCCUGGACCAAUACUGACGCUCAGGCACAAAG